rnacentral:lncRNA from 1 species
CUACAAAUGAGGCCUGCAGGUGGGAGAGGCGGAGCCGCGCCGCGCUGACGCCGCAUCUUCCCGCCUCCCAGUGGGCCGGGCGCGCUUGGGUUAGGCUUCUGAGUGCGGACUGGUAACAAAUGGCUGGGCCCUGAAAGCGGAGCGCCCUUGAGGGGGGUGGUUUAGGGUAGCCAUUCGCGGCUUCCCGCCGCUGUGAGAAUUAUGUCAGAAAAGAAGGCCUUCCCCCAAGGCAGGGGCGUCACGCGUGGCCGCGGUGGCCGGGGGCGUGAGGUGGAUUUGGCCCCUGGAGCCCGGAGUGCCACUUCCCAGACCCACGUGGAGAAGUCCCAUGCAGGCAGUAGUAGCUCUGCCAGCUCAUUCGAGUCCUCCCACCCUCUGCGGCGGACCGUCUCCCAGCCCCCUCCCUCGACUCGGACGAACGAAUCCAUUCAGGAGCAGGGGAGUCCUUCGAGUGCCCUCAACAUCCCUCAGAGCCUCAGUGAUAAUUUUGGCCAGAGGAAUGCCCAGGGCCUCCGCGUUCACCAUCGGGGCGUUCAGGUCCCCACAGUUGCCUCAGACUCCACCCUCCUUAGCUCUUUCUCUCAGCGCAUAUCCACAGUAGGAUCCAUCCCAAUGCCAGACUCAUCCCUAUCUGGGCAAAGGUUUUCGUUAGCUUCUGUGCAAGUGUCCUCCAUGGCUUCUAUACUUAGCACUUCUGUUGAGUCAGAACUGGGGUCUAUCCCUGCCUCACUGACCAGCACUCCCCAAGGGUCCGCAGUGGAGCCCACUCCAUCCCUUCCAUCCGUAUUGUGUCGCCCCUCCUGGGGAUUGGCACCAGAACAUCUUACACACAGAAGCACAUCCCUGCCAGACACACCAGACAACUCCCCACUAGAAUCGGCAGAAGAUUCCCUCAGGCAUUCUGUAUCAGCCUCUUCUUGGUUAUCACCAUCAACACUUUCUGCUCCCCUUGACGAAUCCCUGCUGCCUAUGUCACUCGAUAGUCCUAUAUCCACAUCUCCUCCACUGUAUGAUCAAGGGCCCGCUCCUUUCCUUGCCUCUCAAGUGCCUAUGCUAGGGCCAUCCCUGCCCUGCGUAUGGGGCUCUCCCUGGGUAUCUCAGCAAGGAUCAGCUCCGCCCCUGAACGCUCCCCUAGCCUUUGCACUAGAGCGCGCUCCGCCUUCAGGGCCGGGCUCUUCCCGGGUAUGGAUAGAUACAUCAGCUCCGCCCUCGGACUUCAGUCAAGGGGCGGUACAAGGGUCUGUUCCACCCUGGGCGGUCCCCCCUUUUAAACCCAAGUCUCGGGAGAAUUUUACCCAAACCAUGACGGAUCUGGAGAAGCCCAGUAUCACAGGCCACAUGUUCGACGUAGUCGUGAUUGGAGGCGGCAUCUCAGGUUAGUUUGGAUCUUUAAUAGUAGCAUAAGGGGCCCUAGAUGACCAGGGGUAGGGAACUUGCAGUGUCCCUGUUGUGUUUGGGAGGGUCUUUCUCCUCCGUGU